rnacentral:rRNA from 1 species
CCCUUAGAUGUUCUGGGCCGCACACGCGCUACACUGAAGGAGGCAGCGUGUACUCCUGGAUCGAAAGAUUUGGGUAACCCGCGAAUCUCCUUCGUGCUAGGGAUUGAGGUUUGCAAUUAUCCUUCAUGAACGAGGAAUUCCCAGUAAGUGCAAGCCAUAAGCUUGCGCUGACUACGUCCCUGCCCUUUGUACACACCGCCCGUCGCUACUACCGAUUGAAUGAUUUAGUGAGGACUUCGGACUGGGACCGAUGCGGCUUUCGGGCUGCGUCGGUAUUCUGGAAAGAUGUCCAAACUGUAUCAUUUAGAGGAAGUAAAANUCGUANCA